GGGGAUUUAGCUCAGCGGUAGAGUGCUUGCCUAGCAAGUGCAAGGCCCUGGGUUCGAUCCCCAGCUCCG
rnacentral:tRNA from 1 species